AGAUGAAGAAGUUGUGGCCUUCUUCACUGCUUCUUUUGCAAAGAAAUGACAUUAGCAAAGUUGAGACCUGUUAGAGAGUAUGCUUUGCAUGAUUGGAUUUGCCAAGCGGAGAUCGUCUCUUGCUCCAAAGUCUUGGUAGACAUAAUCCACUUCUUUUCAGUUGGUAAUCUAAGUGGCCGUUCCACAGGCUAAAGCUGCGUCACAUGCCAUGUACUGAUUCAGAAUUUGUCUCCGUGACUUAUGUUACUUCUUUCUCAGUCACCUUGUGAGCGAACAUUUGAAAAAGUAUGUGCGACAGGUAAAGGAUCAGAACAGAAUUUCCCAGGGAGGGACAGCUGCGUAAUAUCCCAGCCUUGAUGUCACUGUACUCAAACUGGUGGUAAUGGUGAAUCCAUUCAACUGUGAUCAGAGCUUAUCACUAACAACCUCUUUACAUAGCGGAAAA